UACGUAGGGUGCAAGCGUUGUCCGGAAUUACUGGGCGUAAAGAGUUCGUAGGCGGUUUGUCGCGUCGUUUGUGAAAACUCACAGCUCAACUGUGAGCCUGCAGGCGAUACGGGCAGACUUGAGUACUGCAGGGGAGACUGGAAUUCCUGGUGUAGCGGUGAAAUGCGCAGAUAUCAGGAGGAACACCGGUGGCGAAGGCGGUUCUCUGGGCCUGACCUGACGCUGAGGAGCGAAAGCGUGGGGAGCGAACAGG
rnacentral:rRNA from 1 species